AAUCAGCUCCCUUAUGAAACUGUUGAGGAUUAAAUUAGAUAUUUCAUAUAAAAUCCUAAGAUUUCUUAAUAAAUAAUAAGCUAAUUGUGCCAUUAACAAGAAAUCACUUCUAGUUAUGAAGUUAACAUUCUAAAGUCAGCAUGAAGUAAAAUUGUAUAUAGGUAAAAACCCUGUAUAAUCAAAUCGCCGCAAAAGCACAGUACAUAUGCAAACCGUACCAGUAAUAAGUCCAAAUCAGCCAAUACUUCCUCUGGCAUUAGAAUUAGCUGGGUCUCUGCAAAUUGGUUGGUGCUAUUGAACUCUCUGGUAUCAAAGAGCUUGAGUAUCACCCCUGCAAGGUAAAGCUUUGUGUUAUAUUUUAAGACAAUUUAAUUGCAAUUUUAAAAGAGGGCAAACUGUCAGAUGUUCAGUAAACAUUUAGUUGGAUGGGUACCAAAUGAGCCAGGAGAGAGAAGAGUAAUGUAAACUCAGUGGGAGAAAACUUUACGAAAAAAGCAAUCGCCCUAGCUGGUUAGGCUCAGGGGAUAGAGCAUCAGCCUGCGGAUUGAAGAGUCCCGGUUCGAUUCUGGCCAAGGUCACGUACCUUGGUUGCAGGUUCCCCAGCCCUGGUGGGGUGCAUGCAGAAGGCAACCAAUUGAUGUAUUUCUCUAAAAUGAUGCUUUUCUCUGUUUCUCCCUCUCCAUGUUACUCUCUCUAAAAAUCAAAUAUCCUUGGGUGAGGAUUAACAAACAAAACAAAAAACAAAAAAAAAGCAAAGAAAAAAAUAGUAAUAAAAAAUAUUAAAUGCUACUGAAAUGUAAAAUAGUAAAGGCAGGAAAAAAAGGAUGAAUUAGAAUCCCAUUGGAAAUAGGAACUUUAAUUGGUAUACUGCAUAUUUAUUUUAAAAAAUUAACAUAUUAUGAAUCUCACACAGAGAAAUGCUUUAAUGGUUAGAAACAAAAAGUAAUUUCCUCUUACACUUCCUCUGGCUCAAAUAAUAGCUGCCUAUUUUGAGCAUGCAUAUUUAAAAAACAAGUAUGCCACUGUGCUAAAGCCAAGUGAGAGUUAUUAAGACACACUCAUCUAAUUACACAAAA